rnacentral:tRNA from 1 species
AUUUAUUUGAUUAAUAAUCAUUUUUAAAUCCUAAAUUUAAUACACUUUUCUGCCAAAAUAAU